rnacentral:rRNA from 1 species
GUUUACAGCCAUAACACCCUGAAAGUGGCUGAUCCUAUCUGAUCUCUGAAUCUAAGCAGAGCCUGGUUAGUACUUGGAUGGGAGAAAACUUAUGAAUGUUGGGAAGG